AUUGAACGCUGGCGGCAGGCUUAACACAUGCAAGUCGAACGAGUGGCGGACGGGUGAGUAAUAUCUGGGAACCUGCCCGAUGGAGGGGGAUAACUACUGGAAACGGUAGCUAAUACCGCAUACCAUCGGAUGUGCCCAGAUCGGAUUAGCUAGUAGGUGGGGUAAAGGCUCACCAAGGCGACGAUCCGUAGCUGGUUUGAGAGGAUGACCAGCCACACGGGGACUGAGACACGGUCCAGACUCCUACGGGAGGCAGCAGUGGGGAAUAUUGGACAAUGGGGGAAACCCUGAUCCAGCCAUCCCGCGUGUAUGAAGAAGGCCUUCGGGUUGUAAAGUACUUUUGGCAGAGAAGCGGUAUCUGCAGAAUAAGCACCGGCUAACUACGUGCCAGCAGCCGCGGUAAUUC
rnacentral:rRNA from 1 species